rnacentral:rRNA from 1 species
GACGAACGCUGGCGGCGUGCUUAACACAUGCAAGUCGAACGGAAAGGCCCUGCUUUUGUGGGGUGCUCGAGUGGCGAACGGGUGAGUAACACGUGAGUAACCUGCCCUUGACUUUGGGAUAACUUCAGGAAACUGGGGCUAAUACCGGAUAGGAGCUCCUGCUGCAUGGUGGGGGAUGGAAAGUUUCGGCGGUUGGGGAUGGACUCGCGGCUUAUCAGCUUGUUGGUGGGGUAGUGGCUUACCAAGGCUUUGACGGGUAGCCGGCCUGAGAGGGUGACCGGCCACAUUGGGACUGAGAUACGGCCCAGACUCCUACGGGAGGCAGCAGUGGGGAAUAUUGCACAAUGGGCGGAGGCCUGAUGCAGCAACGCCGCGUGCGGGAUGACGGCCUUCGGGUUGUAAACCGCUUUCGCCUGUGACGAAGCGUGAGUGACGGUAAUGGGUAAAGAAGCACCGGCUAACUACGUG